CUAUGAAGAAGAUCGAAGUCGACCAAAGAGGAGACGACAUCCAAUUUCGUAGAGAUAUACAUGUGGGAGUUGAAGAAAAACCUCCUGUAAGAUGGGUGUCCAAACAACUGCCUGAUUUUUGUUGGUGGCAAAAGAAAAAACGAAGAAAAAGAAUUAAACGGAUGUUGAUUUUCGGAUUUUGGAGAAAGAUGAUCUAUCUAAG
rnacentral:misc_RNA from 1 species